rnacentral:rRNA from 1 species
GGAUCCAGACUUUGAUCAUGGCUCAGGAUGAACGCUGGCGGCGCAUUUAAGACAUGCAAGUCGAACGAAAAUUUACGCUUAAAGAGUUGAUUAGUUUACUAAGAGAUGAUUUAUUGUAAAUUUUAGUGGCGGACUGGUGAGUAAUACAUAGGUAAUCUGCCUUUUAGAGGGGAAUAACUAGGAGAAAUCCUAGCUAAUACCGCGUAAGACCACACUUAGGCAUCUAAGAGAGGUCAAAGGAGUAAUCCGCUAAAAGAUGAGCCUGUGGCUGAUUAGUUAGUUGGUGGGGUAAGAGCCUACCAAGACGAUGAUCAGUAGCCGAGCUGAGAGGCUGGCCGGCCACAUUGGGACUGAGAUACGGCCCAGACUCCUACGGGAGGCAGCAGUUGGGAAUAUUGGACAAUGGAGGAAACUCUGAUCCAGUGACGCCGCGUGAAGGAAGAAGGUCUUCGGAUUGUAAACUUAUUUUGUCAGGGAAGAAGAAAGUGACAGUACCUGAAGAAAAAGGACCGGCAAACUACGUGCCAGCAGCCGCGGUAAUACGUAGGGUCCAAGCGUUAUCCGGAUUUACUGGGUGUAAAGGGCGAGUAGACGGCGCUGUAAGUCAGCUGUGAAAACUUAGGGCUCAACCUUAAGCCUGCAGCUGAAACUGUAGUGCUAGAGUGCAGGAGAGGUAAGCGGAAUUCCCAGUGUAGCGGUGAAAUGCGUAGAUAUUAGGAGGAACACCAGUGGCGAAGGCGGCUUACUGGACUGUAACUGACGUUGAGGCGCGAAAGUGUGGGGAGCAAACAGGAUUAGAUACCCUGGUAGUCCACACCGUAAACGAUGGAUACUAGGUGUAGGCGAGAUAUCGUCUGUGCCGGCGCAAACGCAAUAAGUAUCCCACCUGGGGAGUACGGCCGCAAGGUUGCAACUCAAAGGAAUUGACGG